rnacentral:rRNA from 1 species
CCGGCGCACGGGUGAGUAACACGUAUGCAAUCCACCUGUAACAGGGGGAUAACCCGGAGAAAUCCGGACUAAUACCCCAUAAUAUGGGCGCUCCGCAUGGAGAGCCCAUUAAAGAGAGCAAUUUUGGUUACAGACGAGCAUGCGCUCCAUUAACCAGUUGGCGGGGUAACGGCCCACCAAAGCGACGAUGGAUAGGGGUUCUGAGAGGAAGGUCCCCCACAUUGGAACUGAGACACGGUCCAA